GUCUAAUAACUUACACGCGGAGAUGUAUGUUACUUAAUUUUGUUUUCUGUGCUUCCUUCUGCCACCAUUUCCCCAAGAGUCCAGUUAAAGUCUUCCAAAUGGAACUGGCUUGUGACAGUGGUGCUUAGAGGACAGGAAGAAGCAGGCUUGCACUGAAGUAUCCAGCCUGGACUGAAGUCGUGUGGCAGGAAGAUGGCUGCUGUGGGCGCCAGGAGGAGCUGGGUGGAGUAGCAAGAGUGGAGAAGAAAAAGCACACGGAAGAGGGGAGCACUCCAGUAAAAAGAACAGCUCUCCAGCACCUUACAAAGGGAACUGGAAGGAAAAACCUUCCAUCAAUGUGUGAGAUGGCUCGCGCUCUCCUUGCUUCCUCCAUUUCACAGUUGGAGACACCACGACCAGAGCAUGGUGAAAAUUAAUAAGGAGAGGGGUGCCGAGUCCACCCUGCUGGGGUGUGGGAAGCAGAAGCCCUGACCAUUCAGAGAUGGAUUUACAGAAGCAGGAACUGAAGACAAAGCAGGAGGUCUUCAAAAUAACUCUCAGAGAAGCUUCUUUGAUGAGCUGAGGCAAUUCAGCAACUUCGGCACUGCGCACUCGUGCUCGUAAAUCACCAGUAUUUGCAGGCGUUGCAAGCUGUCUCCCAAUAUGCAGUUAAAAAAAUAUUCUCACUGCAGUAGCACUAAAGAUCUACUGCCAGUUAUUUUGCUUCAGUACCUUGCAUCUUAAGGGACAAUUUGAUUUUUGC
rnacentral:lncRNA from 1 species